CCUACGGGUGGCAGCAGUGAGGAAUAUUGGUCAAUGGGCGCGAGCCUGAACCAGCCAAGUAGCGUGAAGGAUGACUGCCCUACGGGUUGUAAACUUCUUUUAUAAAGGAAUAAAGUGAGGCACGUGUGCCUUUUUGUAUGUACUUUAUGAAUAGGGAUCGGCUAACUCCGUGCCAGCAGCCGCGGUAAUACGGAGGGUCCGAGCGUUAUCCGGAUUUAUUGGGUUUAAAGGGAGCGUAGAUGGGUUGUUAAGUCAGUUGUGAAAGUUUGCGGCUCAACCGUAAAAUUGCAAUGGAUACUGGCAGGCUUGAGUACAGUUGAGGUAGGCGGAAUUCGUGGUGUAGCGGUGAAAUGCUUAGAUAUCACGAAGAACUCCGAUUGCGAAGGCAGCUUACUAGACUGCCACUGACAUUGAGGCUCGAAAGUGUGGGUAUCAAACAGGAUUAGAUACCCGGGUAGUC
rnacentral:rRNA from 1 species